CUGCUGCCUUCCGUAGGAGUUUGGACCGUGUCUCAGUUCCAAUGUGGGGGACCUUCCUCUCAGAACCCCUAUCCAUCGUCGUCUUGGUGGGCCGUUACCCCGCCAACUAACUAAUGGAACGCAUCCCCAUCGAUAACCGAAAUUCUUUAAUAUCAAGAUCAUGCGAUCUUGAUAUCCUAUCGGAUAUUAAUCUUUCUUUCGAAAGGCUAUCCCCGAGUUAUCGGCAGGUUGGAUACGUGUUACUCACCCGUGCGCCGGUCGCC
rnacentral:rRNA from 1 species